UACGGAGGGUGCAAGCGUUAUCCGGAAUCACUGGGUUUAAAGGGUGCGUAGGCGGCUUAAUAAGUCAGAGGUGAAAGGUUAUCGCUUAACGAUAAGAUAGCCUUUGAAACUGUUAAGCUUGAAUUAGGAUGAGGUAGGCGGAAUGUGACAUGUAGCGGUGAAAUGCAUAGAUAUGUCAUGGAACACCAAUUGCGAAGGCAGCUUACUGGACCUUAAUUGACGCUGAGGCACGAAAGCGUGGGUAGCGAACAGG
rnacentral:rRNA from 1 species